rnacentral:rRNA from 1 species
CCUACGGGCGACAGCAGUGGGGGAUAUUGCACAAUGGGGGGAACCCUGAUGCAGCGACGCCGCGUGGGUGAAGAAGCGCCUCGGCGCGUAAAGCCCUGUCAGCAGGGAAGAAAAUGACGGUACCUGAAGAAGAAGCCCCGGCUAACUACGUGCCAGCAGCCGCGGUAAUACGUAGGGGGCAAGCGUUAUCCGGAUUUACUGGGUGUAAGGGGGGCGCAGACGGCGAUGCAAGCCAGGAGUGAAAGCCCGGGGCCCAACCCCGGGACUGCUCUGGGAACUGGGUGGCUGGGGUGCGGGGGGGCAGGCGGAAUUCCUGGGGGAGCGGUGAAAUGGGUAGAUAACAGGAGGAAAACCGGUGGCGAAGGCGGCCUGCUGGACUGCAACUGACGUUGAGGCCCGAAAGCGGGGGGAGCAAACAGGAUUAGAUACCCCGGUAGUC